UACAGAGGUCUCAAGCGUUGUUCGGAUUCAUUGGGCGUAAAGGGUGCGUAGGUGGCAUGGUAAGUCGGAUGUGAAAUCCCGGGGCUCAACCCCGGAACUGCAUUCGAUACUGCUGAGCUAGAGUACUGGAGAGGAGAUUGGAAUUUACGGUGUAGCAGUGAAAUGCGUAGAUAUCGUAAGGAAGACCAGUGGCGAAGGCGGAUCUCUGGACAGUUACUGACACUGAGGCACGAAGGCCAGGGGAGGCAAAC
rnacentral:rRNA from 1 species